rnacentral:lncRNA from 1 species
CAUUGAACCAACACACCUCUCUAAUGUCAAUGUCAUCCUGAAUCUCCUCCAUAAGUCCACUCCACCAUCAGUCCCCCACUGGACUGCCACAUGUCCGGAGGCCAUUCAACAGCUAAAAUCCCAUCUGGAAACUUCUGGCGUGCAUUGCCUUCAUAUGUACCUAUUUUGUACCACCCAUGGCUGGCAAGCCCACGUGACACCUGGACUGCAUGUGAAGAAUGAGCUCUCAUGCUGUGGGGACUAAUGCAAUGCAGGGCUCUAUGCUGACAUUUGUUUCAAGGACCACAAUGACAAAUAUUUGAGUUAAUGAGGCUAACCAUGUUGAAGGAUACCAGAUCUGACUUCUACAGCUACAUGCCGUCAUGAAAUGGAUGAGUGCAAGCCCUAGCCUUGUAAUGAAGUGCAACUCCCCUACGGACUCAGGAGAGGCACGCAUCCUCCGAAACACAACCCUGCCAAACCACACUGCUUCUUGACACACUGCUCGCUUAACCCGG